rnacentral:rRNA from 1 species
CGCCAGCCUGACGGAGCCAGACCGCGUGGGGGAGGAAGGCCCUUGGGUUGUAAACCCCUUUUCUCAGGGAAGAAACCUGACGGUACCUGAGGAAAAAGCCUCGGCUAACUCCGUGCCAGCAGCCGCGGUAAUACGGAGGAGGCAAGCGUUAUCCGGAAUUAUUGGGCGUAAAGCGUCCGCAGGGGGCGCAUCAAGUCUGCUGUCAAAGGUCGGAGCUCAACUCCGGUUCGGCAGUGGAAACUGGUGGGCUAGAGGGCGACAGGGGUAGAGGGAAUUCCCGGUGUAGCGGUGAAAUGCGUAGAGAUCGGGAAGAACAUCGGUGGCGAAAGCGCUCUACUGGACGGCAACUGACACUCAGGGACGAAAGCUAGGGGAGCG